AUCUGGUUGAGUUAAUCUUUCUUACACUCUUACUUCCUUUUCAGGCUUUCCUUUCCUGAAUAUCAAUCUGUCUCCUUCCUUGCUGCCAAGCCAACCUACGUUUGUGGCAAAAAUGGGUUGGAACAUCUCAAAGGUUAACCAUACGAAAAGAGAGUUGCACAAUGUCUUCAUCAAGAAGUUGUACAGAUAUGAUAUGUUUGAGCAAAUGUUACAAGAACUCGAAGAAGUUUCUAGAAAGAGAAAACAUACUCGGGAUAGGCUGCGUGCUCUUCAACAAGGUUUUCGGAAACUGUGGAGAGGGGUUACGACUUGACAAAUAAUGACACAACGGGUUUGCCAAAGAUGCACGAGCUUCCCACAUCAUCGUUAUAUACUUCAAGCAGCGGUUGAUGGUUGCAGACACGGUGGCGAUACGCGGUUUGAUGGAGCUCCAACAUCAACCGAUCUCGAUCUGUGAACCAUCUGGUUAUCCUUUAUGAGUUUUAGAGUUCUUCUUAUUUUUUUUUUUAUAAAUUCUUGUUUAUUAUUAGUUUUUACUAUAAUAUAAAGUUUGUAAUACGUAUACUUUUUAAUUCAUAUUAAGGAUGGGUUGAA